UACAGAGGGUGCAAGCGUUGUUCGGAAUUAUUGGGCGUAAAGCGCGUGUAGGCGGCUUGGCAAGUCGGGUGUGAAAUCCCUCAGCUUAACUGAGGAAGUGCGCCCGAAACUGCCGAGCUUGAGUACCGGAGAGGGUGGCGGAAUUCCCCAAGUAGAGGUGAAAAUUCGUAGAUAUGGGGAGGAACACCGGUGGCGAAGGCGGCCACCUGGACGGAUACUGACGCUGAGGCGCGAAAGCUAGGGGAGCAAACGGG
rnacentral:rRNA from 1 species